GCCAGGCGUGGUGGUGCAUGCCUGUAAUCCCAGCUACUCAGGAGGCUGAGGCAGGAGAAUCACUUGAACCCGGGAGGCAGAGGCUGUAGUGAGCCAAGAUCGUGCCACUGCACUGUCAGCCUGGGCUACAGAGUGAGAUUCUGUCUCAA
rfam:Gorilla gorilla gorilla genomic chromosome, chr22, whole genome shotgun sequence